rnacentral:rRNA from 1 species
GACGAACGCUAGCGGCGUGCUUAACACAUGCAAGUCGAACGGAAAGGCCCUGCUUUUGUGGGGUGCUCGAGUGGCGAACGGGUGAGUAACACGUGAGUAACCUGCCCUUGACUUUGGGAUAACUUCAGGAAACUGGGGCUAAUACCGGAUAGGAGCUCCUGCUGCAUGAUGGGGGUUGGAAAGUUUCGGCGGUUGGGGAUGGACUCGCGGCUUAUCAGCUUGUUGGUGGGGUAGUGGCUUACCAAGGCUUUGACGGGUAGCCGGCCUGAGAGGGUGACCGGCCACAUUGGGACUGAGAUACGGCCCAGACUCCUACGGGAGGCAGCAGUGGGGAAUAUUGCACAAUGGGCGGAAGCCUGAUGCAGCAACGCCGCGUGCGGGAUGACGGCCUUCGGGUUGUAAACCGCUUUCGCCCGUGACGAAGCGUGAGUGACGGUAAUGGGUAAAGAAGCACCGGCUAACUACGUG